CGGCGAAGUGAAGCGGCAACAGCUCAAAUUUGAAAUCUGGCUCCUUCGGGGCCCGAGUUGUAAUUUGUAGAAGAUGCUUCGGGUGUGGCCCGGUCUAAGUUCCUUGGAACAGGACGUCACAGAGGGUGAGAAUCCCGUCUGACCGGUCGCCUAUGCUCAUGUGAAGCUCUUUCGACGAGUCGAGUUGUUUGGGAAUGCAGCUCUAAAUGGGUGGUAAAUUUCAUCUAAAGCUAAAUAUUGGCCAGAGACCGAUAGCGCACAAGUAGAGUGAUCGAAAGAUGAAAAGCACUUUGGAAAGAGAGUUAAACAGUACGUGAAAUUGUUGAAAGGGAAGCGCUUGCAACCAGACUUGCGCGUCGUUGAUCAUCCGGUGUUCUCACCGGUGCGCUCAGCGACGUUCAGGCCAGCAUCAGUUCCGGUGGUUGGAUAAAGGCCCGGGGAAUGUGGCUCUCUUCGGGGAGUGUUAUAGCCCCGGGUGCAAUGCAGCCUACCGAGACUGAGGACCGCGCUUCGGCUAGGAUGCUGGCGUAAUGGUUGUAAGCGAC
rnacentral:rRNA from 1 species